GACAGAGGGUGCAAACGUUGCUCGGAAUCACUGGGCGUAAAGGGCGCGUCGGCGGACAAGUAAGUCGGGCGUGAAAUCCCUAGGCUCAACCUAGGAACUGCACUCGAAACUGCAUGUCUUGAGUACCGGAGAGGAAAGCGGAAUACCUGGUGUAGAGGUGAAAUUCGUAGAUAUCAGGUGGAACACCAGUGGCGAAGGCGGCUUUCUGGACGGUAACUGACGCUGAGGCGCGAAAGCGUGGGGAGCAAACAGG
rnacentral:rRNA from 1 species